GAUGAACGCUGGCGGCGUGCCUAAUACAUGCAAGUCGAGCGAACGGACGAGAAGCUUGCUUCUCUGUUGUUAGCGGCGGACGGGUGAGUAACACGUGACUAACCUACCUAUAAGACUGGGAUAACUUCGGGAAACCGGAGCUAAUACCGGAUAAUAUUUUGAACCGCAUGGUUCAAAAGUGAAAGACGGUCUUGCUGUCCCUUAUAGAUGGAUCCGCGCUGCAUUAGCUAGUUGGUAAGGUAACGGCUUACCAAGGCAACGAUGCAUAGCCGACCUGAGAGGGUGAUCGGCCACACUGGAACGGAGACACGGUCCAGACUCCUACGGGAGGCAGCAGUAGGGAAUCUUCAGCAAUGGGCGAAAGCCUGACGGAGCAACGCCGCGUGAGUGAGGAAGGUCUUCGGAUCGUAAAACUCUGUUAUUAGGGAAGAACAUAUGUGUAAGUAACUGUGCACAUCUUGACGGUACCUAAGCAGAAAGCCAGGGCUAACUACGUG
rnacentral:rRNA from 1 species